rnacentral:rRNA from 1 species
UACGUAGGGUGCAAGCGUUAAUCGGAAUUACUGGGCGUAAAGGGCGCGUAGGCGGCCUGCUCAGUCGGACGUGAAAGCCCCAGGCUUAACCUGGGAACUGCGUCCGAUACUGGCAGGCUUGGAUUCGGGAGAGGGAUGUGGAAUUCCAGGUGUAGCGGUGAAAUGCGUAGAUAUCUGGAGGAACACCGGUGGCGAAGGCGGCAUCCUGGACCGAGAUCGACGCUGAGGCGCGAAAGCUAGGGGAGCAAACGGG